rnacentral:rRNA from 1 species
GGUGUGUGAAGAAGCCUUAUGGUUGUAAAGCACUUAAGCGACGAGGAUGCUACUUAAGAUUAAUACCUAGAGAUAGUGGACGUUACUCGCAGAAUAAGCAGCCAGGCUAACUCUGUGCCAGCAGCCGCGGUAAUACAGAGGGUGCAAGCGUUAAUCGGAUUUACUGGGCGUAAAGCGCGCGUAGGCGGCUAAUUAAGUCAAAUGUGAAAUCCCCGAGCUUAACUUGGGAAUUGCAUUCGAUACUGGUUAGCUAGAGUGUGGGAGAGGAUGGUAGAAUUCCAGGUGUAGCGGUGAAAUGCGUAGAGAUCUGGAGGAAUACCGAUGGCGAAGGCAGCCAUCUGGCCUAACACUGACGCUGAGGUGCGAAAGCAUGGGGAGCAAACAGGAUUAGAUACCCUGGUAGUCCAUGCCGUAAACGAUGUCUACUAGCCGUUGGGGCCUUUGAGGCUUUAGUGGCGCAGCUAACGCGAUAAGUAGACCGCCUGGGGAGUACGGUCGCAAGACUAAAACUCAAAUGAAUUGACGGGGGCCCGCACAAGCGGUGGAGCAUGUGGUUUAAUUCGAUGCAACGCGAAGAACCUUACCUGG